rnacentral:rRNA from 1 species
AUGUACAUCCCUACAACAUAGCGUUAAUGCAUUGGAUCCCAUUAGAAAUCCGCAAUUAAGCGUGCUUGGGCUAGAGUAUUAUUGGGAUGGGUGACCGCUUGGGAAGUCCUAGUAUUUUACAUC